rnacentral:rRNA from 1 species
AACGAACGCUGGCGGCAUGCCUAACACAUGCAAGUCGAACGGGAUCCUAGCUUGCUAGGUGAGAGUGGCGGACGGGUGAGUAACACGUGGGAAUCUGCCUUUUGGUUCGGGAUAACCGCGGGAAACUGCGGCUAAUACCGAAUGCCCUCGAGAGAGGAAAGAUUUAUCGCCAGAAGAGGAGCCCGCGUCCGAUUAGGUAGUUGGUGGGGUAAAGGCCUACCAAGCCGACGAUCGGUAGCUGGUCUGAGAGGAUGAUCAGCCACACUGGGACUGAGAUACGGCCCAGACUCCUACGGGAGGCAGCAGUGGGGAAUAUUGGACAAUGGGGGCAACCCUGAUCCAGCAAUGCCGCGUGAGUGAUGAAGGCCUUAGGGUUGUAAAGCUCUUUUGCCUAGGGAGAUGAUGACUGUACCUGGAGAAUAAGCCCCGGCUAACUUCGUGCCAGCAGCCACGGUAAU